rnacentral:piRNA from 1 species
UGCAUACUAUGCACUUGGUCCUAUUGCC